rnacentral:rRNA from 1 species
GCGUGUGGGAUGAAGGCCUUCGGGUUGUAAACCACUUUUGGCGGGGGCGAAAUAUCGAGUGCUAAUACCAUUCGGUGAUGACGGUACCCGCAGAAUAAGCACCGGCUAACUACGUGCCAGCAGCCGCGGUAAUACGUAGGGUGCAAGCGUUAAUCGGAAUUACUGGGCGUAAAGCGUGCGCAGGCGGUUAGGUAAGACAGAUGUGAAAUUCCCGGGCUCAACCUGGGAACUGCAUUUGUGACUGCCUGACUAGAGUGCGGCAGAGGGGAGUGGAAUUCCGCGUGUAGCAGUGAAAUGCGUAGAUAUGCGGAGGAACACCGAUGGCGAAGGCAACUCCCUGGGCCUGCACUGACGCUCAUGCACGAAAGCGUGGGGAGCAAACAGGAUUAGAUACCCUGGUAGUCCACGCCCUAAACGAUGUCGACUAGUUGUUGGACGGGUUACUGUUCAGUAACGAAGCUAACGCGUGAAGUCGACCGCCUGGGGAGUACGGCCGCAAGGUUAAAACUCAAAUGAAUUGACGG